GCACAAGCGGUGGAGCAUGUGGUUCAAUUCGAUGCAACGCGAAGAACCUUACCUGGGCUUGAACCGCACCUGUAAACCUGUGGAAACACGGGUCCCUCCUUCGGGAGCAGGUGUAGAGGUGCUGCAUGGCUGUCGUCAGCUCGUGUCGUGAGAUGUUGGGUUGAGUCCCGCAACGAGCGCAACCCCUGCCCUUAGUUGCCAUCGGGUCACGCCGGGAACUCUAAGGGGACCGCCCCGGACAACGGGGAGGAAGGUGGGAUGACGUCAAGUCAGCAUGGCCUUUAUGUCCAGGGCUACACACGUGCUACAAUGGUUGGUACAAAGGGUUGCCAAGCCGUGAGGCGGAGCCAAUCUCAAAAAGCCAACCUCAGUUCGGAUUGCAGUCUGCAACUCGACUGCAUGAAGUCGGAAUCGCUAGUAAUCGCGGAUCAGCAUGUCGCGGUGAAUACGUUCCCGGGUCUU
rnacentral:rRNA from 1 species